rnacentral:rRNA from 1 species
CCUACGGGAGGCAGCAGUGAGGAAUAUUGGUCAAUGGACGAGAGUCUGAACCAGCCAAGUAGCGUGAAGGAUGACUGCCCUAUGGGUUGUAAACUUCUUUUAUAUGGGAAUAAAAUGUUCCACGUGUGGGAUUUUGUAUGUACCAUAUGAAUAAGGAUCGGCUAACUCCGUGCCAGCAGCCGCGGUAAUACGGAGGAUCCGAGCGUUAUCCGGAUUUAUUGGGUUUAAAGGGAUCGUAGGUGGAUUGUUAAGUCAGUUGUGAAAGUUUGCGGCUCAACCGUAAAAUUGCAGUUGAAACUGGCAGUCUUGAGUACAGUAGAGGUGGGCGGAAUACGUGGUGUAGCGGUGAAAUGCUUAGAUAUCACGAAGAACUCCGAUUGCGAAGGCAGUUCACUGGACUGCAACUGACACUGAGGCUCGAAAGUGUGGGUAUCAAACAGGAUUAGAUACCCCAGUAGUC